CCUACGGGUGGCAGCAGUGAGGAAUAUUGGUCAAUGGGCGAGAGCCUGAACCAGCCAAGUAGCGUGAAGGAUGACUGCCCUAUGGGUUGUAAACUUCUUUUAUAUGGGAAUAAAGUGAUGCACGUGUGCCUUUUUGUAUGUACCAUAUGAAUAAGGAUCGGCUAACUCCGUGCCAGCAGCCGCGGUAAUACGGAGGAUCCGAGCGUUAUCCGGAUUUAUUGGGUUUAAAGGGAGCGUAGGUGGAUUGUUAAGUCAGUUGUGAAAGUUUGCGGCUCAACCGUAAAAUUGCAGUUGAAACUGGCAGUCUUGAGUACAGUUGAGGUAGGCGGAAUUCGUGGUGUAGCGGUGAAAUGCUUAGAUAUCACGAAGAACUCCGAUUGCGAAGGCAGCUUACUAAACUGCAACUGACACUGAGGCUCGAAAGUGUGGGUAUCAAACAGGAUUAGAUACCCCGGUAGUC
rnacentral:rRNA from 1 species